AUGGGGUUGAGGCCUGAUGUCCGUCCGUCCGUCCGUCCAUCCCCAUCUUGCGGACGUGGACACCCCCUGGAUCUCAGGGACACGCAGACAGACAGAUGGACGGAUGGACACCCGGAAGGAGGGGGGAUGGAUGGACAACCGGACAGACAGACGGAUGGACAGACACCUGGAAGGAGGGGGGACGGACAGACAGACAGACGGAUGGACACACACAAGGGACAGGCCCCAGGCAGACAGACGGAUGCCCGGGAUGCACGGCAGGACAGAUGGACACCUGGGCCCCCAGAGGGACGGGCAGAGGGACAGCUGGGCAGGCAGGGGGACGGACAGACGGAAGACCGGGCGGGCACCUGGACAGACGGCUGGACAGACAUCCAGACAGACAGACACCUGGGCGGAUGGACAGGCAACCGGACAUUUGGAUGGAUGGACACACGGACAGACGGAUACCUCGGUGGAUGGACAGGCAAGCAGAUACCUGGACGGACAGACACACGGACAGACACACAGACGGAUAGGCAACCGGACACCUGGACAAAUGGACACACGGACAGACAGACACCUGGGUGGAUGGACAGGCAACCGGACACCUGGACGGACAGACACAUGGACAGAUGGACACCUGGGUGGAUGGACAGGCAACUGGACACCUGGACGGCUGGAUGCCUGGACAGACAGACACCCGGGUGGACAGACAGGCAACGGGACACUUGGACGGACAGACGGACACCCGGGUGGACAGACAGGCAAUGGGACACUUGGACGGACAGACGGACACCUGGGUGGAUGGACAGGCAACUGGGCACCCAGACAGACAGACACCCGGACAGACGGACACCCCAUCGCCCAGCCAGAUGGAAAACGGGACGGACAGAUGGACGGACAAGCAGGCACUCGGAUGGGCGGCCGGACAACCGGACACACCUGGCCAGGCUGACAAGAGACGGACGCCUGGACCGGGGGGGGGAGCGGCCGGCCGGACGCACGGACAGCCGGCCAAGGGGACGGACACACGGACGGGCAAGGGGACAG
rnacentral:lncRNA from 1 species